rnacentral:rRNA from 1 species
CUGAAACCGUGUGCAUACAAACAGUCGGAGCCUCUUCGUGGGGUGACGGCGUACCUUUUGUAUAAUGGGUCAGCGACUUACAUUCAGUGGCGAGGUUAACCGGAUAGGGGAGCCGUAGAGAAAUCGAGUCCGAACAGGGCGACAGUCGCUGGGUGUAGACCCGAAACCAAGUGAUCUACCCAUGGCCAGGAUGAAGGUGCGGUAACACGCCCUGGAGGUCCGAACCCACUAAUGUUGAAAAAUUAGGGGAUGAGCUGUGGGUAGGGGUGAAAGGCUAAACAAACUUGGAAAUAGCUGGUUCUCUCCGAAAACUAUUUAGG